UACGUAGGGGGCUAGCGUUGUCCGGAAUCAUUGGGCGUAAAGAGCGUGUAGGCGGUCCGGUAAGUCCGCUGUGAAAGUCGGGGGCUCAACCCUCGAAUGCCGGUGGAUACUGUCGGGCUAGAGUGCGGAAGAGGCGAGUGGAAUUCCUGGUGUAGCAGUGAAAUGCGUAGAGAUCGUGAGGAAGACCAGUGGCGAAGGCGGGUCUCUGGACAGUUCCUGACACUGAGGCACGAAGGCCAGGGGAGCAAACGGG
rnacentral:rRNA from 1 species